rnacentral:rRNA from 1 species
UACGUAGGGUGCAAGCGUUUGUCCGGAAUUAUUGGGCGUAAAGAGCUCGUAGGCGGUUCGUCGCGUCGGCUGUGAAAACCUGAGGCUCAACCUCAGGCCUGCAGUCGAUACGGGCGGACUUGAGUACUGCAGGGGAGACUGGAAUUCCUGGUGUAGCGGUGAAAUGCGCAGAUAUCAGGAGGAACACCGGUGGCGAAGGCGGGUCUCUGGGCCGAUAUUGACGCUGAGGAGCGAAAAGCGUGGGGGAGCGAACAGG